CGAGAGAGAAAAAAUGUGAGGACUUUCGGUCCCUAAAAUUUCUCUUCGCCUAGGUACUACGGGGACGAAAGUUGUUAGCGCCGUUCGUCCCUAGCCGAGCUCGCAGCACAGAAUCGUAGAAUCGACAGACUGCGUGGCCGGCAAGGCGAAGAAGCCGUGUCCGAGGUGUCCAUGCUCCUGCAGUCCUGUGGUGACCCUGUGGAGCUGGAUCCGGUCUCGUGGAAACACAGCCGGCUCAUCAGUCACAAAACGAGUGGGCUGCUGCUGAGGUACCCCAGCUGGAGUCGAGAGGUGAGAAGAUGUGGCACGACGGGACAGGAACAUAAGCCUUGAGGGAAAGCCGCGAGCAAAGCCGUGGUCGGUGCUCUGGUGAACGGCCUGCAGAUGAACACCAGCUGCAGACGUUCAGCCGUAGGCUCAGGAACACCAGACACAGGCAGGAGCCCGGACCCACGGGCUGCUUCUUCCGUCGUGGCUGUCUUCUUCGCUCACUUUCCUCUCUCACAAUGGCGCCUCUCCAGCAUUCCACGUGACGAGGUUCUCUGUAGAUUCUUCUUUCUCUUUCGCCU
rnacentral:lncRNA from 1 species